rnacentral:rRNA from 1 species
AGAGUAUGCCUACGGAGGGCAGCAGUGGGGAAUAUUGCACAAUGGGGGAAACCCUGAUGCAGCGACGCCGAGUGAGGGAAGAAGGUUUUCGGAUUGUAAACCUCUGUCCUUGGUGAAGAUAAUGACGGUAACCAAGGAGGAAGCUACGGCUAACUACGUGCC